UUCUCUUCUCAAUCUGUGACCCUAGAUCGCGAACGGCAACCAAUCUUCAUCGUGCUUCCGCCGCAAAAAUCCUUGGGUUUCUUCAUUUGAUUGUUAACUUGUGACUGCUAGGUAGCAUUAUUGAUUAUUAAUUGUCUUUAUUUUUUCAAAUGUGCAGCCUUAUUCAUACUAUCUUUUGUUAGCAAAAUGAAAGAAGAGAAGGCAUAGAAAUGAGCUUGGUAACUAGCAUUCUUGUGGGUGGAUUUGCCAAAAUGGAAAAUGUAGACACUUUUGGGUUGCCAUUUCAAUUGUCUUCUUUGUUGCUGCUACAUUAUUUACUCUACUGAAACUUUGUGAUAGCCAGCCAAGCUAAGCUAAGUAGAUGGAAGCAAUUGUUGAAGUUGAAGAUUGUGAAAGCGUUUAAGAUUUCUUAUUUAAGUCUUGUAUUAGGAUCUAGUUUCAUGUAUUAUUAUAGAAUGUAUAUACAAACGCAAUAUUAAGA